rnacentral:lncRNA from 1 species
CUGUCUAAUCACAUGAACCUGAAAAGCAAGGAGGUUCCUCUGCCUGGAAACAGAAGCAAGAUGUGGUUAAAGGGGAAGUUGGAGAGAUCAGUGCAAGAGGAACCUAACCCACCGUGACUGAAGGGUAUCACAUGGAAAAUCUGAAGAGGAACACUAAAGCAGACUGUCUGAUAACCAGCAAGGUAGUGGGGCCCUACAGCUGUAAGGAACCGAAUUUAGCCUGGAGCAGCUUGGAAGCGUGCUCAUCCCCAGAGUCUGCAGAAAGGAAUGCAGCCCUCCCGCGCCUCUGGUUUUGGUCUUGGGAUAGCCUAUGCAGAGGGCCCUGCUGAGCCAUGCUGCACCUGGACUUGCCGCUUUUAGAGCUCUGAGAUAAUAAAUUUGAGUGGCUUCAGGCUGCUGAGUUUGUGGUAAUUUGCUAGAGCAGCAGUAGAACACUAGCGCAAAGGGGUUUACGCCAGGAAGUAGGGUUAAAUUUUGUGUUAUUAAUAGACUGCCCUUUGUGUUGUGUGGAAAAUGGAUUAGGGAGACGCAGAUUUGGAGGCAGGGCAACUUGUGUUGUGGGAAUAUGGUGGUGUCAGGGCUUAGGUGGGCAACGGUGGGAAGCAGGUAUGAUUUGAGAUUUACUUGCGAGGUUGGAAUUGCCAGUUUGGUCACUGAUUUGGUGUUAGGAGUGAGCGAGAAGAGAGACACGAGGGUGACAGCUGGCUUGGAUGCUGAGUGAUGGUGAAGCUGUCCUUUGAGCCAGGCUUGAGCAGGUCGGAGGAUGCCACGUCAUCAAUCAGUGAUAAUUCCAGGUCAUGUAGGAAAUUGUAGAUCAUGUGAAGAUGGGACUGUUGAUAUUUGUUCGCAAUCUGCUGCUAGCCCUCUGCCUUUUUCUGGUACUGGGAUUUUUGUAUUAUUCUGCAUGGAAGCUACAUUUACUCCAGUGGGAGGACUCCAAUGUAGAAACUGAGGCUUCAAAGAGGCUCAGUGAUCAAGAGUUUGUCUCUCAUCUGUGGAGCUUAGAGGGCACUACCAAGCUUGAAAAAUAAAUGUCUUUGGCAUUAUUUUCCUUAAUUUUUAUUCAUUUAUGACUUAACCAAGGUUACAUAUUAGGAUUCCAUCACGUUGGGGGAAAGACGGGGAGUCAAGAGUUUUUUAUUAUCAACUGAUUUAUUCAGUAAGCAAUAUGUUCUUAUUAUGGUCCAAACUGUUCUAUGUAAACUGCAUAUAAGAUGAAGGU